rnacentral:rRNA from 1 species
GUUGAACGCUGGCGGCAGGCCUAACACAUGCAAGUCGAGCGGAUGAAGGGAGCUUGCUCCUGGAUUCAGCGGCGGACGGGUGAGUAAUGCCUAGGAAUCUGCCUGGUAGUGGGGGAUAACGUCCGGAAACGGGCGCUAAUACCGCAUACGUCCUGAGGGAGAAAGUGGGGGAUCUUCGGACCUCACGCUAUCAGAUGAGCCUAGGUCGGAUUAGCUAGUUGGUGGGGUAAAGGCCUACCAAGGCGACGAUCCGUAACUGGUCUGAGAGGAUGAUCAGUCACACUGGAACUGAGACACGGUCCAGACUCCUACGGGAGGCAGCAGUGGGGAAUAUUGGACAAUGGGCGAAAGCCUGAUCCAGCCACGCCGCGUGUGUGAAGAAGGUCUUCGGAUUGUAAAGCACUUUAAGUUGGGAGGAAGGGCAGUAAGUUAAUACCUUGCUGUUUUGACGUUACCAACAGAAUAAGCACCGGCUAACUUCGUG